UUUCGUGGUCAUUUCUAUGAUAUAGACCUGUCCUUACAUCUUAUAUGUUGACCCACUUUUAACGUCAUUCUAUAAAAAUGAAAUUUCUUCAAACAUUUUUACACGUGAAAUCUUAAAUCACAAACAAAUAGUUUUCGCCUUGUUACGAUUUUAUUAUAUGUAGAGAUAAGAUAAUAUUUACUGUUUCUAUUAUAGCAAGAUUUAUUCAAGUUUAGUGACAUAGCAACCCUGUGUCCAAAGGACAUCUUUACCUGAAAAUGGCCAGUCGGCCAAGCGGUCGGCCGUCCGUUCACCUACGACCUUGGACGUCCCGACGGCGACCGGCUGGGGAAGUGUCCUAUGUAUCGAUACUUUGUUUCGAUGGGACCGGUCGGGGAAGUAUGCUAUUUGUCGAUACUUUGUAUCGAUAGGACCGACCGUUGAAGUAACCUAUGUGUCGAUGGGACCGGCUGGAAUAUUAUUCACAAAAUACGCACAAUCUUGCCUGGAAGACUGUACUUCCGAAUCGAUACGCUAUUGAAAUCAUCAAGAGAAAACAUCAUAGACUAGCUGUGUCUUCGGUUUCGCCUGCAUGAAAUAGAUAGCCUAUGAGUUAUUCUGGUGUAUAAGCUAUAUUAUUGUAAAUUUUCAUUAUAAUUUAUACAGUAGUUUUUGCAUGAAAGAGUAACAAACAUGCAUCCAUCCAUUCGCUCACACAAUUUCCACAUUAUAAUAUUAGUAAGAUGUAGUUCCUUAACAGCCGACAGAACACAUGAAAUUCUGUAGUGUUACAGGUGCCCAUGGGUGACGGUAACCACUUACCAUCAUGUAAACCGCAGACAAUGACAACAGAUUGGUAUGCCCCCAAGUUUGAGUGGAUUUUAUGACAAUGUUGUAAGUAUGGGAACAAAGGUUUGGUGGAUUUGAAAUUAGGGGAGUGGGAAUUUUGAUAUUUUGUACUAGGUUUUCUGUACUAGGUACCUUUAGUAUGAUGUGCAUUGAAGUUAAACAAAUAAAUUAACUGUAGCACAUUUGUGGCCUAAUACAACAAUACUCUGAAAAUGAAAGCAAAAAAAACGUAUAAUUUAUUGAGAAAUGAUCUUUACUAAAAGGGAAGAUUUUUCAUUUAAUGGAAUUUAGGCCAAAAUUUUGGGGAAAAGCAAUACGAUACCUUGACCGCAUUAUUGUUAUAAAAAUAUAUUAACUUACAUUUAAUUACAUUACAGCAAAGGCACAGAAAGUAACCACAACUGCAUCUACUCUCUCACAGCUAUUCUCUUCCUCUAAAGAUAUUAAUGGAAUGGUACACUCGCCUGCACUAACGGCUUACGCUGGCGGGGCACCAGUGGAGGAUGAUAAGAUACGCCUGAAGUCAGAAAGUUUGCCCAUCGUGGCGAAUUUACCAGAAAUUGACCACGAUGGUAUCCAGGGGGGACUGCGACUACGAAGUCAACCUGACAUGAUCACCAGUGGAUACUGAUCGUGUACAGUGAAUAUAAAAGUCGUCGCGUGGUACAGAGGUGGCGGACAGCGCGCGCCACAGGCUCGCUCGCCAAUUUCGCACACGAUAAGUUCAUCGACUCCUACAAGGAUGCGUGAAUGUACGGAAAUUAACUGAUGCGGCAUUUGGUCGUUAAAACAACCGACUUCCGAUGUUUUUUUUGUUUAUUCUCACUGCGUGAAACGAUCGCAACGCAUUUUUAUAGUUACUAAAAUAGAAUAAUAUUUUUUAAUUAGUGUUUUUUAUUAGAUAAUUACGAUUUAAAAUGUCUAUAUUAAUAUCUCAUGGUUAUUAUUAUAAUUGUAUUCUGUAUCUCAAUUAUUAAUGUGUUUAUGAUAAAUAUAUUAAGUACCUAAUUAUGUUUUUGCCUACCAUCUUUAUCCACGUCAGUAACCCUGUCCAAUUUCAAUAUUUAAAUCCU